rnacentral:rRNA from 1 species
UUCCUACGGGAGGCAGCAGUGAGGGAUAUUGGCAAUGGGCGAAAGCCUGACGCUGCGACGCCGCGUGGGUGAUGAAGGUCUUCGGAUCGUAAAACCCUUUUCUGCGUGACGAUGAUGACGGUAGCGCAGGAAGAAGUGUCGGCUAACUACGUGCCAGCAGCCGCGGUAAAACGUAGGACGCAAACGUUAUCCGGAAUUACUGGGCGUAAAGGGCGCGCAGGCGGUUGGAUAAGUGAGGCAUGAAAGCCCCAUGGCUAAACCUGGGGAGGUUGUCUGAGACUGUCUGACUGGAGUGCGAUAGAGGGGUGUAGAAUUCCGCGUGUAGUGGUGAAAUGCGUAGAGAUGCGGAGGAAUACCAGAGGCGAAGGCGGCACCCUGGAUCGUGACUGACGCUGAGGCGCGAAAGCAUGGGUAGCGAACGGGAUUAGAAACCCCGGUAGUCCAUGCCGUAAACGAUGUGUACUCGAUGUUCGGCCUACAUUGUAGGUUGAGUGUCUAAGCAAACGCGGUAAGUACACCGCCUGGGGAGUACGGUCGCAAGGCUAAAACUCAAAGGAAUUGACGGGGGCCCGCACAAGCAGCGGAGCGUGUGGUUUAAUUCGAGGUUACGCGAAGAACCUUACCUGGACUUGACAUACUGGUGGUAGGGAACCGAAAGGGGACCGACCUUCGGGAGCCAGUACAGGUGCUGCAUGGCUGUCGUCAGCUCGUGUCGUGAGAUGUUCGGUUAAGUCCGAAAACGAGCGCAACCCUCGGCGUGUGUUACAGGUGUCACACGCGACUGCCCGUGACAAACGGGAGGAAGGUGGGGAUGACGUCAAGUCAGCAUGGCCUUUAUGUUCAGGGCUACACACACGCUACAAUGGGCGGUACAAUGGGUCGCGAAGCCGCGAGGCGGAGCCAAUCCUGAAAAGCCGUUGUAGUUCGGAUUGCAGGCUGCAACUCGCCUGCAUGAAGUCGGAGUUGCUAGUAACCGCAGAUCAGCCACACUGCGGUGAAUACGUUCCCGGGCCUUGUACACACCGCCAA